rnacentral:lncRNA from 1 species
GGCCCCAUCGACCAGGAAGGACUUAAAUGGAGCCCGCGGAGCCAGACCAACGCGCCAGCAGACCAGGGACAUCGGCAGGCCCGGUCUGUCUACAGCACAAACGCAGGGCCUGUAAGGAGCGUGUCGUGGUGACAGCGUAAAGUGGACAGAACGAACGAGUCCUAAGACGAAAACUAUUUAAAAGCACUGGCCUGCGGCCGACGCGGGAGAAAAGAGAGGUGGACAGCCUACAGCUUUCCCAAAGCAAGAGCGUGUCAAUAAUCGCACCGUCUCGGGGACGGGGGCGAAGCGCCCGACCAACCUUGGCAACCCUGAGCCGCCGCCGCUCCCGCUUCCCGCCGCCGCCGGCCCCUGCGCCGCCGCCGCCACCAUGGCUCCCUCCUGCUCGCCCGCCGAGCCGCCUACCGCCGCCGUUGCCGCCGCCGCCGCCCCGUCCCCUCCGAACUGCUCCUCCGACAUAGUGCUACUGCCGCCGCCGAAGACGACACCCGCCGCCGCCGCCGCCGCCGCCGCCGCGAACCGAAACUAGCAGCAAAGUAAUCCCCGCCGCCGCCGCGCGAUGCCCGCUCUACCUCGCGAGGCACCCUAGACAAGGCGCGCGCGUGGCUGCAAGGGCUCCUGCGCCUCUCCCCGGCCUGCCCCCCUCGCCUCCCACUCUCGCGCAGCGCGCUCUCUCGCUCUCCCCGGCUGCACUGAAAA